rnacentral:rRNA from 1 species
UGCCUCAGUAACGGCGAGUGAAGCGGCAACAGCUCAAAUUUGAAAUCUGGCCCUUUCAGGGUCCGAGUUGUAAUUUGUAGAGGAUGUUUCGGCGAGUGCUCCCGUCUAAGUUCCUUGGAACAGGACGUCAUAGAGGGUGAGAAUCCCGUAUGUGAUGGGUUGCGCGAGCCAUGUGAAACUCCUUCGACGAGUCGAGUUGUUUGGGAAUGCAGCUCUAAAUGGGAGGUAAAUUUCUUCUAAAGCUAAAUACCGGCCAGAGACCGAUAGCGCACAAGUAGAGUGAUCGAAAGAUGAAAAGCACUUUGGAAAGAGAGUUAAAAAGUACGUGAAAUUGUUGAAAGGGAAGCGCUUGCAACCAGACUUGCCCGCAGUUGCUCAACCCGCCUCCUGGCGGGUGUACUCUUCUGCGGUCAGGCCAGCAUCAGUUCGGGCGGCCGGAUAAAGGCGUCGGGAAUGUAGCUCCUCUCGGGGAGUGUUAUAGCCCGGCGCGACAUGCGGCCAGCCUGGACUGAGGAUCUCGCUUCGGCUAGGAUGCUGGCGUAAUGGUUGUAAGCGGCCCGUCUUGAAACACGGACCAAGGAGUCUAACAUCUAUGCGAGUGUUUGGGUGUCAAACCCAUGCGCGUAAUGAAAGUGAACGGAGGUGGGAACGCGCAAGCGUGCACCAUCGACCGAUCCUGAUGUCUUCGGAUGGAUUUGAGUAAGAGCAUAGCUGUUGGGACCCGAAAGAUGGUGAACUAUGCCUGAAUAGGGUGAAGUCAGAGGAAACUCUGAUGGAGGCUCGCAGCGGUUCUGACGUGCAAAUCGAUCGUCAAAUUUGGGUAUAGGGGCGAAAGACUAAUCGAACCAUCUAG